rnacentral:lncRNA from 1 species
CUAAUAAACAAGAUUCAAUCUUUAUACAAAUAUGAACAAGAUUCAUGUUCCAUAUGUUUGGCAGCUUUGGAAAAUUGGCAGCAUGAAAAAACUUUUCUUUCAAUUUUAUAAUUUGAGGAUUUUUUUUCUGGGUUGGUUGAAGAUCUGCGAUUAUUUCAUUGAUUUUGUAGAUGAUAAUUUUUUGGAUUUUGAAGAAAAAAUUAUGAAUUUUU